rnacentral:ncRNA from 1 species
ACGUCGGGCUCAAAUUGGGCCUCCUGGUUAGUAAUAGCUAGGUAAGAAACCCAUCAAAUUCGGGGAAGCCUAUUUGAAGAAUUGAGGAAAUUUUUACGAAUUGGUGAUCCCGAGCCAAGCUAAUCGUUUGUUCGACCAUUUGAUCGAGCGAGAUGAUUAGAAGGUGUAGAGACUAGACGGUGGGGUCGCUAUGUAUGGAGUUCGCCAACAACGCUAACUUUAUGCAGCGACAAGGGAUAGUCCAGACCACAAACAAUCAUCGG